rnacentral:piRNA from 1 species
AAGGAGAGGAGUUGGCAGGGACU